UUGCAGACCAUUAAGCUGACUGUGUUUUUUUCCUCUUAGGAACUCCAUGUGUGUGGCUACAAACAGCAGCCUCUUUGGCAAUGUAUGGCAGAGUCUGUUGCUUUUAUGGGCUUCACUGGCCUGGAAAUCCUGA
ensembl:snoRNA SNORA70 Small nucleolar RNA SNORA70